UUGUCUCUCUUGAGUGGAUCCUGAGUACGACGGAGCACGUGAAAUUCCGUCGGAAUCUGGGAGGACCAUCUCCUAAGGCUAAAUACUCUCUAGUGACCGAUAGUGAACCAGUACCGUGAGGGAAAGGUGAAAAGCACCCCGGAAGGGGAGUGAAAUAGAACCUGAAACCGUGUGCUUACAAGUAGUCAGAGCCCGUUAAUGGGUGAUGGCGUGCCUUUUGUAGAAUGAACCGGCGAGUUACGAUUUGAUGCAAGGUUAAGCAGUAAAUGUGGAGCCGUAGCGAAAGCGAGUCUGAAUAGGGCGUUUAGUAUUUGGUCGUAGACCCGAAACCAGGUGAUCUACCCUUGGUCAGGUUGAAGUUCAGGUAACACUGAAUGGAGGACCGAACCGACUUACGUUGAAAAGUGAGCGGAUGAACUGAGGGUAGCGGAGAAAUUCCAAUCGAACCUGGAGAUAGCUGGUUCUCUCCGAAAUAGCUUUAGGGCUAGCCUCAAGUGAUGAUUAUUGGAGGUAGAGCACUGUUUGGACGAGGGGCCCCUCUCGGGUUACCGAAUUCAGACAAACUCCGAAUGCCAAUUAAUUUAACUUGGGAGUCAGAACAUGGGUGAUAAGGUCCGUGUUCGAAAGGGAAACAGCCCAGACCACCAGCUAAGGUCCCAAAAUAUAUGUUAAGUGGAAAAGGAUGUGGCGUUGCCCAGACAACUAGGAUGUUGGCUUAGAAGCAGCCAUCAUUUAAAGAGUGCGUAAUAGCUCACUAGUCGAGUGACACUGCGCCGAAAAUGUACCGGGGCUAAACAUAUUACCGAAGCUGUGGAUUGUCCUUUGGACAAUGGUAGGAGAGCGUUCUAAGGGCGUUGAAGCAUGAUCGUAAGGACAUGUGGAGCGCUUAGAAGUGAGAAUGCCGGUGUGAGUAGCGAAAGACGGGUGAGAAUCCCGUCCACCGAUUGACUAAGGUUUCCAGAGGAAGGCUCGUCCGCUCUGGGUUAGUCGGGUCCUAAGCUGAGGCCGACAGGCGUAGGCGAUGGAUAACAGGUUGAUAUUCCUGUACCACCUAUAAUCGUUUUAAUCGAUGGGGGGACGCAGUAGGAUAGGCGAAGCGUGCGAUUGGAUUGCACGUCUAAGCAGUAAGGCUGAGUAUUAGGCAAAUCCGGUACUCGUUAAGGCUGAGC
rnacentral:rRNA from 1 species